rnacentral:rRNA from 1 species
UACAGAGGUCUCAAGCGUUGUUCGGAUUUACUGGGCGUAAAGGGUGCGUAGGCGGCGCGGUAAGUCGGGUGUGAAAUCUCGGAGCUUAACUCCGAAACUGCAUUCGAUACUGCCGUGCUUGAGGACUGGAGAGGAGACUGGAAUUUACGGUGUAGCGGUGAAAUGCGUAGAUAUCGUAAGGGAGACCAGUGGCGAAGGCGGGUCUCUGGACAGUUCCUGACGCUGAGGCACGAAGGUCAGGGGAGCAAACGGG